CGAUGGGUAGCCGGGUUGAGAGACCGAUCGGCCACAUUGGGACUGAGAUACGGCCCAGACUCCUACGGGAGGCAGCAGUGGGGAAUUUUGCGCAAUGGGGGAAACCCUGACGCAGCAACGCCGCGUGCGGGACGAAGGCCUUCGGGUUGUAAACCGCUUUCAGCAGGGAAUAUAGUGAAGGUACCUGCAGAAGAAGCUCCGGCUAACUACGUGCCAGCAGCCGCGGUAAUACGUAGGGAGCGAGCGUUAUCCGGAUUCAUUGGGCGUAAAGCGCGCGUAGGCGGCCCGUCAAGCGGGGUUUCAAAUCCAGGGGCUCAACCUCUGGCCGGACCCCGAACUGGCGGGCUCGAGUGCGGUAGAGGAAGGUGGAAUUCCCAGUGUAGCGGUGAAAUGCGCAGAUAUUGGGAAGAACACCGAUGGCGAAGGCAGCCUUCUGGGCCGCCACUGACGCUGAGGCGCGAAAGCU
rnacentral:rRNA from 1 species